GGGCCCGCACAAGCAGCGGAGCAUGUGGUUUAAUUCGAAGCAACGCGAAGAACCUUACCUAGACUUGACAUCUCCUGAAUUACCCUUAACCGGGGAAGUCGGUACCUUUGGUAUCGACAGGAAGACAGGUGGUGCAUGGUUGUCGUCAGCUCGUGUCGUGAGAUGUUGGGUUAAGUCCCGCAACGAGCGCAACCCUUAUUGUUAGUUGCUACCAUUUAGUUGAGCACUCUAGCGAGACUGCCCGGGUUAACCGGGAGGAAGGUGGGGAUGACGUCAAAUCAUCAUGCCCCUUAUGUCUAGGGCUACACACGUGCUACAAUGGCAAGUACAAAGAGACGCAAGACCGUGAGGUGGAGCAAAUCUCAAAAACUUGUCCCAGUUCGGAUUGUAGGCUGAAACUCGCCUACAUGAAGCCGGAGUUGCUAGUAAUCGCGAAUCAGCAUGUCGCGGUGAAUACGUUCCCGGGCCUUGUACACACCGCCCGUCACACCAUGAGAGUUGGCAAUACCC
rnacentral:rRNA from 1 species